AACGAACGCUGGCGGCAUGCCUAACACAUGCAAGUCGAACGAGACCUUCGGGUCUAGUGGCGCACGGGUGCGUAACGCGUGGGAACCUGCCCUUAGGUUCGGAAUAACUCCCCGAAAGGGGUGCUAAUACCGGAUAAUGUCUUCGGACCAAAGAUUUAUCGCCUUUGGAUGGGCCCGCGUUGGAUUAGCUAGUUGGUAGGGUAAAAGCCUACCAAGGCGACGAUCCAUAGCUGGUCUGAGAGGAUGAUCAGCCACACUGGGACUGAGACACGGCCCAGACUCCUACGGGAGGCAGCAGUGGGGAAUAUUGGACAAUGGGCGAAAGCCUGAUCCAGCAAUGCCGCGGGAGUGAUGAAGGCCUUAGGGUUGUAAAGCUCUUUUACCCGGGAUGAUAAGGACAGUACCGGGAGAAUAAGCUCCGGCUAACUCCGU
rnacentral:rRNA from 1 species